rnacentral:misc_RNA from 1 species
GACUUCCCCAUUAGAGCCGUGGAAGACCACCACGUUGAUAGGUCAGAUGUGGAAGCACAGUAAUGUGUGUAGCUAACUGAUACUAAUAGCUCAAUUGAUUUACUUUGCUGUGAGAUUACACAUGUAUAUAGUGUUUAUUCUAUAAUAUGUCAGUAUCAACUCACAAAGUUAUCAGGUUAAAAUAGCUUUAUCAAUUAAUAAAAGUGUUGUUGCAUGAUUGUCAUCCCGUGGCUUUAUUUAUAUGUCAUUCCUGCGAAAGCAGGAAUCUAGUAAAAUAUAAUGUUGUCCUGUGGUUUGUUCGUAGGAUUUUCGGAUAUAAAAUUGUGAUAUAAAAAUUUUUUUAAGUCCUGCAACAACACUAACAGCAAACCAAUACAAAUUUACUAUUUAAAAAGUUUGUAUCGCUAGCUUGGUGGUUAUAUUAUGAGUGAAACACA